rnacentral:rRNA from 1 species
GUUUGUUUGGAGCUAUAAAAAAUUUAACCUGCCCCCUGAUUAAUUAUUUAAAGGGCCGCAGUAUUAUAACUGUGCAAAGGUAGCAUAAUCAUUAGGUUUUUAAUUGAAAUCUCGUAUGAAUGGUUGGACAAAAGAAGAACUCUCUUUAUGUUAAGUUUUGAAUUUAACUUUUAAGUGAAAAGGCUUAAAUAUUCUAAAGGGACGAUAAGACCCUAUAAAACUUUACAUUAUUAUUAAUUUUGAUUGAAUUUAUGAAAUAAGAAUUUUAUUUGAUUAUUUGUUAUGUUGGGGAGACAUAAGUAAAAAUUUUUUAACUGCUUUGACAAUUAUACAAUUAUUAGUGAAUAAGUAAAAGAUCCUUUUUUAAGAUUAGUAGAUUAAGUUACUUUAGGGAUAACAGUGUAAUUUCUUUUGAGAGUUCUUAUCGAAAAAGAAGAUUGCGACCUCGAUGUUGAAUUAAAAUAUCUAUAUAGUGGAGAAAUUAUAUGAGAAGGUCUGUUCGACCUUGAAAUUUUUACAUGAUUUGAGUUCAAACCGGUGUGAG